rnacentral:lncRNA from 1 species
GGGCUCCUGCAUUUGCGGGGUCCUGGGUUUCGGGCCACUUGAGCCAGAUGUAUGCAUUUUUACCAUGUGUUUAUGCAAAAGGUGUUUCCAUAACUUGAACUCAUAACAUCCAGCAAGGGCGUAGCUUUGUGGGGCGGGAGGGGGCGGCCGACCCCGAACUUUUCGCUCAAUAGUGGAGAGUAUGCAGUUUUCAUAUAGAAAUUUUUGGUUUCCACUUGAAAGAUCCCUAGUGCAUUGAACCAGCCCAUAAAGCUUCUUUGAACCUUCGAGGUCUAUAACUCCAGCCGCGUACAUUCUUGGGUCAGCGUACGCUGUGUUCGACAAACUGGUCAACAAUCUCUUGGCUUCCAGGUUAAAGAACGUUGGAUCACUUACAUUGUUUAUGUUGAGCAAGUAAAACUUAAACUCGUUGUCUAUUUGACCAAAGAAGUUACUACUAGAAUAUUUCAAGAGGCAUUGGUCAUACCAUAUGGUUGCAGCCUUGUUGUUUGGACAACGUUUGCGAAUUUCAGCACUAGCGUUAACAAAACAAGAAGCGCAGACUUCGCUUGACACGUCACCCUGACACAAAGACAGACCAAAGGUUUGAGCUUGGUAUGGACCCGCGGAGCUCAUUCCAAAGCCAUUUGGAGGGGUUUUGUAGUGCAAGUUACCUAGGAGUUUGUUCAGGCUUUGAUCAUAAGGACUAUAAGGUGUAAAGUUACCAGAAUUUGUGGAACAAAAGUGGUAGAGAGGGUUAGCCCCAAUAACCAUUUGGACAAAGAGAAAUAACAAAAGGACACCGAUGUUGAAGGAUGAAGACAUCUUGUUGUAUGAAGAAUGAUGAGUAUGUAUGAUUUGUUAUAAGUGGGUGAUGUUGUAGGGUAUGCAUGCUCUAUUUAUUGGGUGGCGAACAUCGUAACCUAAGAAGUAAUACAUGGUCAAUUGUAAAAGGUUAGACCUUUUCAACUUAUGAUGUUUUCAACCUUCUGUUGGGUUUUUAAUGGUAAGAUCUUAUGAAAGUGUAACAUAAUGCUAAUUCUUCUCAAAACCCAGAUAUAACUUUGUCAAUUUGUGGCACAUGUAAUAAGUCAAUCUGUGGCAAAUUAAA